rnacentral:pre_miRNA from 7 species
UGGGGCAGGGGGGCAGGAGGGGCUCAGGGAGAAAGUAUCUACAGCCCCUGGCCCUCUCUGCCCUUCCGUCCCCUGUCCCCAAGU